rnacentral:tRNA from 1 species
UUAAUUGAAACCAAAAUAGAGGUAUAUCACUGUUAAUGAUAAAACUGAGUCAUCUCUCCGAUUAAG